rnacentral:misc_RNA from 1 species
UCUCCGUUGGUGAACCAGCGGAGGGAUCAUUACCGAGUUUACAACUCCCAAACCCCUAUGUGAACGUUACCAAACUGUUGCCUCGGCGGGAAAUUCAUGCCCCGGGCGCGUCGCAGCCCCGGACCAAGGCGCCCGCCAGAGGACCAACCAAAACUCUUUUGUAUGUCCCUCGCGGACUUUUAUAAUUCUGAACCAUCUCGGCGCCCCUAGCGGGCGUUUCGAAAAUGAAUCAAAACUUUCAACAACGGAUCUCUUGGUUCUGGCAUCUAUCAAUAAC